rnacentral:rRNA from 1 species
GACGAACGCUGGCGGCGUGGAUUAGGCAUGCAAGUUGAACGGUAGGAUCCUUUCGGGGAUCUGAGAGUAGCGAACGGGUGAGUAACGCGUAGGUGAUCUACCUUCAAGUGGGGGACAACCCAGGGAAACCUGGGCUAAUACCGCAUGUGGCAGUAAUGCUAAAGCCGGCCUCUGAAUAUGCUGGUGCUUGGAGAUGAGCCUGCGUCUGAUUAGCUAGUUGGUGGGGUAAUGGCCUACCAAGGCGAUGAUAAGUAGGCGGCUUUAACGAGUGGUCGCCCACACUGGGAUUGAGAUACGGCCCAGACUCCUACGGGAGGCAG